rnacentral:tRNA from 1 species
GUGGAUGUAGCUCAGCUGGUAGAGCUCCGGAUUGUGGAUCCGGCGGCCGUGGGUUCAAGUCCCAUCAUCCACCCCA